rnacentral:tRNA from 1 species
GAGGGUAUAGCUCAGUGGUAGCGCGCACGCUCAGCACACGUGAGGUCCUGGGUUCAAUCCUCGGUACUUUCA